rnacentral:rRNA from 1 species
UACAGAGGUCUCAAGCGUUGUUCGGAUUCAUUUGGGCGUAAAGGGUGCGUAGGGCGGCGCGGUAAGUCGGGUGUGAAAAUCUUGGAGCUUAACUCCGAAACUGCAUUCGAUACUGCCGUGCUUGAGGACUGGAGAGGAGACUGGAAUUUACGGUGUAGCGGUGAAAUGCGUAGAUAUCGUAAGGAAGAACCAGUGGCGAAGGCGGGUCUCUGGACAGUUCCUGACGCUGAGGCACGAAAGGCCAGGGGAGGCAAAACGGG